GGCUCAGUGGCCCAACUGGCAGAGGCGGUCGACUCAAAAUCGGCAUGUUGUGGGUUCGAAUCCCACCUGAGCUACCA
rnacentral:tRNA from 7 species